rnacentral:rRNA from 1 species
CCUACGGGGGGCUGCAGUCGAGGAUCUUCGGCAAUGGGCGCAAGCCUGACCGAGCGACGCUGCGUGCGGGAUGAAGGCCUUUGGGUUGUAAACCGCUGUCAGAGGGGAUGAAAGCGAAAGCUUGACAGAGCCUCAGAGGAAGCGCGGGCUAAGUUCGUGCCAGCAGCCGCGGUAAUACGAACUGCGCAAACGUUAUUCGGAAUCACUGGGCUUACAGGGUGCGUAGGCGGCUCGUCAGGUCCGAUGUGAAAUCCCACAGCUCAACUGUGGAACGGCAUUGGAAACCGACGGGCUUGAGUGAGCUAGAGGGACACGGAACUUCCGGUGGAGCGGUGAAAUGUGUUGAGAUCGGAAGGAACACCAGAGGCGAAGGCGGUGUCCUGGGGCUUGUCUGACGCUGAGGCACGAAAGCCAGGGGAGCGAACGGGAUUAGAUACCCCUGUAGUC